rnacentral:tRNA from 1 species
GGCGAUGUGGUGGAAUUGGUAGACACGCGGCACUCAAAAUGCCGUGCCUUCGGGCGUGACGGUUCGACUCCGUCCAUCGCUACCA